CCAAUUCUUACAACCUCACCUCCUUCGAGUUCACAGCCCUUUAUCGUGGUUGGGUGCGGCAAAUCUCCUUAUGGGCCCAUUAGGAUCAUUGGCCAAUACCAAGCACCCAAAUAUUAUCAAACAUUGAUCAAGUGUAGUGUGGAAUUACUCGCGUUGUGCAUCAAAGUUCCAUGAGAACUCAAGUGUAUCCAAGGCAAUGCUUACACAAAGGGGUAUACCCUAAAUUCUAGGAUUAGUGAGAGUGUGUGACAUAGAGUUUAAAACGUCUUAGAAAAAUGAUUCUCAUGGAAACAAUUUUGAAAGAUAAACAACAGAAGAGUGUGAGAUAGAGUUAAAGAGAUAGAAUUGAAAGCAGUUUAGGAGAAUGGUACC
rnacentral:lncRNA from 1 species